GACUUCCCAACUGUCUCAACCGCGAACUCGGCGAAAUUGCAUUACGAGUAAAGAUGCUCGUUACGCGCAGCAGGACGGAAAGACCCCGUGACCUUUACUACAGCUUGGUAUUGGUGUUCGGUGUGGCUUGUGUAGGAUAGGUGGGAGACUUUGAAGCGGUGACGCCAGUUACCGUGGAGUCAUUGUUGAAAUACCACUCUGGUCACUCUGGAUAUCUAACUUCGAACCGUAAUCCGGUUCAGGGACAGUGCCUGGUGGGUAGUUUAACUGGGGCGGUUGCCUCCCAAAAAGUAACGGAGGCGCCCAAAGGUUCCCUCAACCUGGUUGGCAAUCAGGUGGCGAGUGUAAGUGCACAAGGGAGCUUGACUGUGAGACUGACAGGUCGAGCAGGGACGAAAGUCGGGACUAGUGAUCCGGCAGUGGCUUGUGGAAGCGCUGUCGCUCAACGGAUAAAAGGUACCUCGGGGAUAACAGGCUGAUCUUGCCCAAGAGUCCAUAUCGACGGCAUGGUUUGGCACCUCGAUGUCGGCUCGUCGCAUCCUGGGGCUGGAGUAGGUCCCAAGGGUUGGGCUGUUCGCCCAUUAAAGCGGUACGCGAGCUGGGUUUAGAACGUCGUGAGACAGUUCGGUCCCUAUCCGCUGCGCGCGUAGGAAGUUUGAGAGGAUCUGACCCUAGUACGAGAGGACCGGGUUGGACGAACCUCUGGUGUGUCAGUUGUUCCGCCAGGAGCACCGCUGAUUAGCUACGUUCGGGAUGGAUAACCGCUGAAAGCAUCUAAGCGGGAAGCCGGCCUCAAGAUGAGACUUCCAUACCUUCGGGUGAGAGGCUCCCAGCCAGACUACUGGGUUGAUAGGCCAGAUGUGGAAGCACGGUAACGUGUGCAGCUGACUGGUACUAAUAAGCCGAUGACUUGAUAACACACCGUUCGUUG
rnacentral:rRNA from 3 species